UAAUGUCUAGUAUAAGCAAUUAUACCGUGAAACUGCGAAUGGCUCAUUAAAUCAGUUAUCGUUUAUUUGAUAAUACCUUACUACUUGGAUAACCGUGGUAAUUCUAGAGCUAAUACAUGCUGAAAAUCCCGACUUCGGAAGGGAUGUGUUUAUUAGAUAAAAAACCAAUGCCCUUCGGGGCUUUUUGGUGAUUCAUGAUAACUUUACGGAUCGCAUAGCCUUGCGCUGGCGACGGUUCAUUCAAAUUUCUGCCCUAUCAACUUUCGAUGGUAAGGUAUUGGCUUACCAUGGUUUCAACGGGUAACGGGGAAUUAGGGUUCGAUUCCGGAGAGGGAGCCUGAGAAACGGCUACCACAUCCAAGGAAGGCAGCAGGCGCGCAAAUUACCCAAUCCCGACACGGGGAGGUAGUGACAAUAAAUACUGAUACAGGGCUCUUUUGGGUCUUGUAAUUGGAAUGAGUACAAUUUAAACCUCUUAACGAGGAACAAUUGGAGGGCAAGUCUGGUGCCAGCAGCCGCGGUAAUUCCAGCUCCAAUAGCGUAUAUUAAAGUUGUUGCAGUUAAAAAGCUCGUAGUUGAAACUUGGGCCUGGCUGGCGGGUCCGCCUCACCGCGUGCACUCGUCCGGCCGGGCCUUCCUUCUGAAGAACCUCAUGCCCUUCACUGGGCGUGCUGGGGAAUCAGGACUUUUACUUUGAAAAAAUUAGAGUGUUCAAAGCAGGCCUUUGCUCGAAUACGUUAGCAUGGAAUAAUAAAAUAGGGCGUGCGUUUCUAUUUUGUUGGUUUCUAGAGACGCCGCAAUGAUUAACAGGAACAGUCGGGGGCAUCAGUAUUCAGUUGUCAGAGGUGAAAUUCUUGGAUUUACUGAAGACUAACUACUGCGAAAGCAUUUGCCAAGGAUGUUUUCAUUAAUCAGUGAACGAAAGUUAGGGGAUCGAAGACGAUCAGAUACCGUCGUAGUCUUAACCGUAAACUAUGCCGACUAGGGAUCGGGCGAUGUUCUUUUUCUGACUCGCUCGGCACCUUACGAGAAAUCAAAGUUUUUGGGCUCCUGGGGGACUUUU
rnacentral:rRNA from 1 species